CACACAUCCACAGAGCACUCUUCAAAUCAUCUACACAGUGGUUAUCCAACUAGGAUUAUAAAGGUACACAUUGACAUAGACCACUGUUGCAGUCAAUGACACAGUCGCUAUCCAAGUAGCAUUAUAGAGCUGUCAUGCAACGCAACAACUGUGCUAUCUGCCAUCGCACAUCAACGAAGAAGUGCAGCCGCCCACAUUCCACCUCACGUCUGUCCGACCAGCUGCAAUCCUCGAGGACGCCCCACUGUACCACGAUUUCACUACGAUGUUUGACAAGAAGGAGCAGUGCGCGAGAUAGGCAAAUGAGCAGACUUCCCUCGCUUGAGUUUCGGAAGAAUGUUCCAUAUCGCGCUAAGCUGACCACUGCUGACCAUGACAGGCGUGCAUUGGACUGG